GACGAACGCUGGCGGCGUGCUUAACACAUGCAAGUCGAACGGGUCUGCCCUGUUUUUUGCGGGGUGGGUCAGUGGCGAACGGGUGAGUAACACGUGAGUAACCUGCCCCUCACUUCUGGAUAACCGCUUGAAAGGGUGGCUAAUACGGGGUGUUCUGGCUGUGCCGCAUGGUGUGGCUGGGAAAGAUUCACUUUUGUGGUGUUUUGGUGGGGGAUGGGCUCGCGGCCUAUCAGCUUGUUGGUGGGGUGAUGGCCUGCCAAGGCUUUGACGGGUAGCCGGCCUGAGAGGGUGGGCGGUCACACUGGGACUGAGAUACGGACCAGACUCCUGCGGGAGGCAGCAGUGGGGGGUAUUGCACAAUGGGCGGAAGCCUGAUGCAGCGACGUCGCGUGAGGGAUGGAGGCCUUCGGGUUGUGAACCUCUUUCGCCGGUGAAGAAGGUCCUGCUCUUUGUGGUGGGGUUGACGGUAGCCGGGUUAUGAAGCGCCGGCUAACUACGUG
rnacentral:rRNA from 1 species